rnacentral:lncRNA from 1 species
UAAAAUCAUGAAGAAAACAAUCAAGUCUAAGUAUUAAAAUAAGCUUAUUUUGGAAAAGAAUUAGUAAGGUCAAAUAUUAUAAGAAAGGAAAAGAAUCAAUUAACUUUAAAUAGAUGAGUAAAAACUAGGGCUUGUAAUAAAACUUUUGCAAUCAGUCUCAAUAUCAAGAUCAAUCAAAGAACAAUCAAUAUAUAAAUAAAGUGAACAGAAGCAUCGGACAUGCGAGGCCAAGCACAUUGGCAAAAGAAACAACAUAUAAUAGUAGCAGAAAUAAGCAUAAGAUUCAAUAGUGAACAAAGUUAGAUAGUCAGGGCUCACACAUAUUAGCCAAAAUGAGGAAGAGAGUCAAAACAAGUACAAGUCUCAUAGUAAUAGGUGAGGAAACCUUUUGAGAAGCUAGAAUUUCAACAAUAGUCGAGUUAAAAAGAUAGUAAACCUGAAAAUUAGAUAAGUCACAUAAAGGAAAGAGAGUAUGAAACAAGGAACUCUUAAUCGAGUGAAGCAUAAUUUAGAACAAACAGUCUCAGACCAAAAGACCUAUGGUUUUCCACAAUAAUCGAGUUUAAAAGAUGGUAAAACUCAGAAUAAAAUAAGUCAAACAAGAACAAAGAACUUAAUCG